GGGAGCUUCAGGUUGGAUAUUCAGAAAAACGUAACAAGUUGUCUUAUUCCGCUUCUUCAAACAGUUUAAUUCAGAGUCAUUCACAGCUGCGAUCGUCAGUCCCGCAAGCGGAUCUACUGCUGACAAAUCGAGAUUCUUUGAGGAACGGCCGCACAAUAAUUUCAUUUAGCAAGUUUCAAGUCUUUAAUUUCUAAUGCAAAUAUUUAUUAGCAUUUUGAAACUCCCCCACUCCAGUAAGCCUUGAAUGCAAUCGCAAUUCAACAAAGACUCAAGCAAAGCCAGAGGCCUAACAAAGCGCGAGAGGUGAUUACAUGUAAAAGCCUUACGGUGCCUGUAGCUACUCCUCCUUCUGGUUACGGAACAAUACUCCUUUUUUUUUUUUUUUUUUUUUUUUUAAUGUUUUGUUCAUAUUAAAAACAGAGAAAUGGAGAAGGGCAGCUGAGUCUCAAAGACAGCAGAAGCGCAACAAUCGCCGACUCAAGUAUCACAAAGUCUUUUCCAUUUGGGAAAGUUUCUGAGGGAGAAAUUAUUUCUCUACGUCGCAAAAUCCGCGACUGAAAAGAAAGCAGUGUCAAAACUCCGAGAUUGCUUAAAAACAGGCUGACGUGCACCGGUCAGAAAUCAUGCGGGUGGAGUUUGUUCGGCCUCGGGACGGGGCCAUACAUCAGACGACAGCUGGAAGCAUUCUUCCUACGUUAUUCUUCUCUAAUUCUACGCCUGCUGCUUGUCGAUGCUGCUAGUACGCGAUAAAACCCACGCCCUUUUAUUUGGAAGCUGGGGGAAGACGGCAAGGCCUCAAACACACAGCACAUCCUAUAUUGUCUUUGGGAGACGGAGACCCACCGUUUUAACUUGCAGAAUCAUUUCCAUCAGUAAGACAAGAGAGACAGAGAUGAUAUCCCCAUGCUCCAUCUUUAUUGUGCAAAUGCUGCUCAAAGCUUUUCAUUGCCCUCCACAGACACCCACCAAAAACAAUUAUAUGUCAACGGUGGCUAGGCUGACGGGCAACACGUGAAAUCCAUUCGGUGGCGAUCCGUACGCGUGCAGCAACUCCUGUGGUGCAAACAUCUUAGCCAGGAGGCUGGCCCAACUGACGGCCAUCCAGAAUACAGAGACGUGCGCGGUAGUCUGAAGGGACUGAGGGUGGGUAUCUCACAGCCAUCCGGAAUCCAUUGGUCAGGCCCAGGUUAGCAGCACACUUCUCGCCAACAAUCAUCAAACGGC
rnacentral:lncRNA from 1 species